rnacentral:lncRNA from 13 species
AUGGGCUUCUGUGUGUGCAGCUGCGGCCGCCGCCGGCGGCCGGGGGAGGGGGGCGGGCGACUCCCCAGCUCCCCUCCUUUUCGGCCGCGACCCCCGGAAAGGCUCCGCUUUCACUUCCCGCGUUCCCCACCACCCCCAAACCGCCCCAACGUAUCGAAAGAGGGGGAUCUAUCCGGCCGGGGGCGCCACUUUGUGCUCCCGGGGAGCGGGACGUACCAGGCGCGCCCAGCGGGGGAUGCGGUGACCGAGGGGCCGGGAGCGCCGGGCAGCUACCAGGAACCAGGGAAAGCUCGCUCUGGAGCGUCUCGCACGUGGCAGGCAGGCAGAGAACUUGCUGUACCUUCUAGGAAAUUGCAAUCGAUUUGUAACGCACUUUCGCUAAUUGGGAGUUCAAAAUUAAACUUUAAUAAAGCAUUUGUGUCGUCUCGUCUAAUUGUGAAAGCUUCCAUCCGUCCUGGUAGAUAG